UUAAUUUUUGAAUGUGUUGGGCUUUGACAAAUAUUAUUUUGGGCCCUAGUUUUAAUUAAGUCUUCCUUGUUAAUAAUUAAGCCCAAAAGUCAUUUUUUCCUAAAAAAAAAAAAAAAAAAAAAACGAAACCCAACCCACCACCUCCAUAGCUGCCAAGUACAGCACCUCCAUUUUGACUCCUUCACCCAUCUCAACCAUGCGCGUACAGCACCUCCAUUUUGACUCCUUCACCCAUCUCAACAUGCGCCCACUCUUUUGCACGCUCCCUACCAUUUUUGACUCCUUCACCCACGCUUCUUACCUUAACAUGUUCAUCCUACUCCCUUAAAUAUCCCUCUUAUUCAUCUAAUUCCUCACCCCAGCAACGAAGUUCAAACAAACAAGAUCACCGUAUAACAUAUCAGAAUUCAUUCAAUCAAGGUUUUACCUUCUAAACUCCAACUUAUUCCCUCUGCAUAAAUGACAAUACGAUGCAUCCUAUCUAUGUAUGCUGUUUUACU
rnacentral:lncRNA from 1 species